UCGCAGGUCUGGUAUUCCCCCUGUUUUUAAAGGGAACAAGAAGGAUCUGGCAGAAGGAGGCCAGCGGUGCCAGAAAAGCUCCCUACCCGCACCCACCGCUGCAGUGACGCGAUUCGUAUUCGUCCAGUUUGGAGUGAAUGUUCCCGAAGUUUACAAAGAUGCGGAAAUUUACAGAUUUCAGAGGAGAGACACCGACAGAGGAGCGAUCCACAUGGCCCCUGCAGGGCAUGGAUCCUCCCCACGCCUAACUUGGCGUCACCCCUCCGUGGCCCAGCAGCUCAUAAAAGCCCCCAAAGAGACCGGAAGUCCAUCGCUCCCCCCUGGCUCAGCACCGUGGCUCAUUUCCCAGAGCAAACACCAGGAAUCGUGCAGAAGGCUGGUCUCUGAAGGUGGCCUGGGCCGCCGACUGAACCUCCUUCCCUCCUGGCAGGUAGCUGGACGGUCGACCCUUCGGGUUCACUGAGGAGAGUGGCGGGGUCCUGGUGGACAGCGACAUUGCUGUGAUCUGGUGUGCUGGGUGAGGACCCUGCCCCAGGACACUCAGGAGCCGCACUGUCCAACCAUCCAGAGUGUGGAGUGUGAGGACCGUCACCCAAGGGUGGAUUGAUCCCCGGGCGGAUGGGAUUAGCUGGGUGGUAACUGAAGCGCGGUAGUGGCUUUGGGGUAUGUGGUCUGCAGCUGGGCGCGCUGUCUUUCUCGGCUUCCUGACCAUCGUGAGAGCUGCUCCUCUCCAUCGCGAGGUCCUGCCUCCCCUUGAGCCCCAAGGAAUGGAGCCAGCCCUCUCUGGACUAGCAUCUCGGAAACGUGAACCCCUUAAAUAAACUCUCCCUC
rnacentral:lncRNA from 1 species